rnacentral:rRNA from 1 species
UACAGAGGUCUCAAGCGUUGUUCGGAUUCAUUGGGCGUAAAGGGUGCGUAGGCGGCGCGGUAAGUCGGGUGUGAAAUCUCGGAGCUUAACUUCGAAACUGCAUUCGAUACUGCCGUGCUUGAGGACUGGAGAGGAGACUGGAAUUUACGGUGUAGCGGUGAAAUGCGUAGAUAUCGAGAGGAACACCUGCGGCGAAGGCGGGUUGCUGGGCUGAUACUGACGCUGAUGCGCGAAAGCCAGGGGAGCGAACGGG